rnacentral:rRNA from 1 species
GAUGAACGCUGGCGGCGUGCCUAAUACAUGCAAGUCGAGCGAACAGACGAGGAGCUUGCUCCUCUGACGUUAGCGGCGGACGGGUGAGUAACACGUGGAUAACCUACCUAUAAGACUGGGAUAACUUCGGGAAACCGGAGCUAAUACCGGAUAAUAUAUUGAACCGCAUGGUUCAAUAGUGAAAGACGGCUUUGCUGUCACUUAUAGAUGGAUCCGCGCCGCAUUAGCUAGUUGGUAAGGUAACGGCUUACCAAGGCAACGAUGCGUAGCCGACCUGAGAGGGGGAUCGGCCACACUGGAACGGAGACACGGUCCAGACUCCUACGGGAGGCAGCAGUAGGGAAUCUGACGCAGAGGGCGAAAGCCUGACGGAGCAGCGCGGCGUGAGUGAUGAAGGUCUUCGGAUCGUAAAACUCUGUUAUGAGGGAAGAACAAAUGUGUAAGUAGCUAUGCACGUCUUGACGGUACCUAAUCAGAAAGCCACGGCUAGCUACGUG